AGCGAGAUUGUGUAAUUGGUUAGCACAAUAGUCUCAUUAGCUGUUAGUUUAAGUUCAAGUCUUAAUCUCGCUA
rnacentral:tRNA from 1 species